GACGAACGCUGGCGGCGUGCUUAACACAUGCAAGUCGAACGGAAAGGCCCUGCUUUUGUGGGGUGCUCGAGUGGCGAACGGGUGAGUAACACGUGAGUAACCUGCCCUUGACUUUGGGAUAACUUCAGGAAACUGGGGCUAAUACCGGAUCGGAGCUCCUGCUGCAUGGUGGGGGUUGGAAAGUUUCGGCGGUUGGGGAUGGACUCGCGGCUUAUCAGCUUGUUGGUGGGGUAGUGGCUUACCAAGGCUUUGACGGGUAGCCGGCCUGAGAGGGUGACCGGCCACAUUGGGACUGAGAUACGGCCCAGACUCCUACGGGAGGCAGCAGUGGGGAAUAUUGCACAAUGGGCGGAAGCCUGAUGCAGCAACGCCGCGUGCGGGAUGACGGCCUUCGGGUUGUAAACCGCUUUCGCCUGUGACGAAGCGUGAGUGACGGUAAUGGGUAAAGAAGCACCGGCUAACUACGCG
rnacentral:rRNA from 1 species